CGUCGCCAUUUUUAAAAUUUUGAAAUUUUAUUUGCUUUUCGAUUGAUGAUAAAUAAGAAUGGAAGAGUGUUCAUUUUGAUGCAACUGAAAAAAAAAGCAAGUUGACCGUCAUGGUUUCGUUUCAUUUUGGAGAAUCUUCUAAUUAAUUACGGAACAUUAAAAAAACCCUGGAUGGCAUUAAUUUACAGUGCCUUGGUUGUGUCAGUGUUCAUUCGAUUCAGAAAGUAGCUAUCCUAAAAAGAAGCACAAAAGUGCCUUUUUUCCAUUGAGAAGGGAUACAUUGUGGCAUUGAUGAAGGAAGGAUUUAUGACGAAU